UUUUCAUGCAUUUAUUUUGUCAUGGGGGGGAUUAAAUAAUUUAAAUUCCACAGAUGGAUACAGCACACUGGUUCUUACUUCAGUCAGAAGAAUCGGAAACUUGGAGGCAGAUGUCAGAGUAGAUCUCCAAUUAAUCUUUCAGACAUGUCAACAGUCCUGGGCAUUUAGGAUAGAAGCGCUUUGACGGAUUAAGAAUUGAAGAUUCCUAUACAUUUGUAGUUGGGGUGCUUAGAGCAUGAUUUUGAAUAUUAAUGGACAAUCAGACUAAGGAUCAAACAACCAGGAGAUGUGAACAAGUCUGAUUAACACUGAGGCUCAUCCACUUUAAACAUAUCACUAAACAGCAUGCAGUUAUCAAGCACUGUUUGUGUUGUCUUAUAUUCACAAAUCAUAAUAUAAAACAGUCAUGCUUCCAUUAAUGAAGAAAAAUGUGUUUAAUUAUUUUUUUAUUAUCUGCAUUUUUAAAGUACUGCUAGAAAAUAUUAUCAUUCUUACUUAAAUUUUAAAAAUGUAAAGUAAUAUUGCUGCAAAGACUUUUCAUUUUAACUUGAAUUGCACUCUGGUACGGAGAAAGUUCAGAAAAGGCAAGAAAACUGUGUGCGCUCUCCCAAGAAAAUCUUAAGUUAUUAUAUCCAUAUUCUCCUUGGUAAUAUACAUGUGGUGCAGAUCUACUUCUAGAAAACCCACCACACCUGCUCUUAAAUUCUAGCAAUCAAAUGCCACUGUACGUGACUCCAGUCCUACCAAUGAACUCUACAUAAAUUUCAUUUUUAACAGCAAUAUUGGCUGAUUUCAAGGUCAAUAUAUUAUCAAAUAACACUGCAAACACAGACUGAGAAUCAUAAAAAUGCGGUUGCUUAUUUAAUUGAAUAUGUUUUUAACAAAGCAACUGAUUUUCAAAGUAUUAAAAAAAAAAUUUUUUUUUUAAUUCUGUAUGUCCACAAACAUGAAAGCAAACUACAGAAAAAAAAAACUGUUGGUAAUUUUCUGUAAGUUUCAAAAGAUAGCAGGAUAUACAUGCUGUUUUAUGUUUCUAUGUAUAGCUAUCUACUGGCAAGCGUACAGUGGAACAAAGAUAGACAUCUAGAUAUAUUUUUACCUGCAGUAGACGUGUUUGCAUGGAGAUAGAUUCAUAAUUAGAUAAGUAGACAAUGGAAACUUCUGAAAUUUGUAGCUUUGGUGUGCAUCAAGUCUAUAUGUAGCACCUUUAUUUCUUGAGUGAGAAAUUCUCACACAGCAGUAGAUAUAGAUAUAGAUUUAUUAACGAAA